CAUUUACAUUCACCUUUUAAUUAAAGCCCAAAGACAUUUAAUUGAUCCAACAAUUAUUUCUCUCCACACUCCUUUUUUACAGGUUUCAAAUUCUGAGAGUUGGUAACGUAGUCAAUGGAGAAGUUGAUUCUGGUAUGAAGCUGGAUGAUCUUCUUAUGGUAUAUGACAAAGAGAAGCAGAAGUUCUUGUCUUCUUUUGUCGGUCAGAAUAUCAAAGUGAAUGUGGUUAUGGCUAUAAUAGAAACACAAGGAAGCUUAUAUUCUCCAUGAGGCCAAGAGAAAACGAAGAGGAGGUUGAGAAAAAAACGAAAUCUGAUGGCAAGAAGGUGUCCCUGCGUUGAUUCACCAAUCAAAAAGUUUCAUGGGAUACCACUUUAGACCCUGCUUCAUGUUUCAAGAUCAUUGAUUGAUACAAAGAGAACAUGUUGAUAGUCAUAAUUACAUCAAAGGUCACACUUUCAUCUUUUAAGUGUA